CGGGAGGCAGCAGUGGGGAAUAUUGCACAAUGGGCGCAAGCCUGAUGCAGCCAUGCCGCGUGUGUGAAGAAGGCCUUCGGGUUGUAAAGCACUUUCAGUCGUGAGGAAGGUGGUGUAGUUAAUAGCUGCAUUAUUUGACGUUAGCGACAGAAGAAGCACCGGCUAACUCCGUGCCAGCAGCCGCGGUAAUACGGAGGGUGCGAGCGUUAAUCGGAAUUACUGGGCGUAAAGCGCAUGCAGGUG
rnacentral:rRNA from 1 species